CCUACGGGCAGCAGCAGUGGGGAAUAUUGCGCAAUGGGCGAAAGCCUGACGCAGCGACGCCGCGUGAGGGAUGAAGGUCUUCGGAUCGUAACCCUCUGUCAGCAGGGAAGAACGGUCACUGUGCUAAUCAGCAGUGAAUUGACGGUACCUGACCAAGAAGCCCCGGCUAACUACGUGCCAGCAGCCGCGGUAAUACGUAGGGGGCAAGCGUUAUCCGGAUUUACUGGGUGUAAAUGGAGCGUAGACGGCAGGGCAAGUCUGGAGUGAAAGGCAGGGGCCCAACCCCUGGACUGCUCUGGAAACUGUCCGGCUGGAGUGCAGGAGAGGUAAGUGGAAUGCCUAGUGUAGCGGUGAAAUGCGUAGAUAUUAGGAGGAACACCAGUGGCGAAGGCGGCUUACUGGACUGUAACUGACGUUGAGGCUCGAAAGCGUGGGGAGCAAACAGGAUUAGAUACCCCGGUAGUC
rnacentral:rRNA from 1 species